GAGGAAAUCCCAGAAGCCAUUCAGCAGUGCAGCACGUUAGUUUCUACAUAAAAAUGGAAGCUGGAAGCCAGUUGUCCUUCCUGGGAUCACAGCUACUCCACUUUCCUCAGCAUAUUCUGCAGGAAAACAAAGAAAAAAGGACUGUACUUCAAAAAAUGCCAAACAUGAGAGCGUGUGAUGAAAUAUCUAUCUGCACUGUGGAAGCCUGACAUUUUGAUGCACUGAGACCUAGGGGCCAGUAGGUGCCUAGCCAAUAUGUAUUCAUCGAAUAUGAGCUGAAUGAGUAAAUGAAUGAAAUUGUAAAAGUCCUGGAUUCUGAACCUGAGCUUGUCUUUAACACGCUGUAUUGUUGUCAAGUCACAUCUCCUCUGGGAUUCUCUCUUCAUUUGCUAAAUGGGUAUAUUUCUUUUUUUUUUUUUUCACUUAAAUAAAUAAAAUAAUCAAAUAAGA